rnacentral:rRNA from 1 species
ACGGGAGGCAGCAGCUAAGAAUAUUCCGCAAUGGGGGGAACCCUGACGGAGCGACGCCGCGUGGAUGAUGAAGGCCGGAAGGUUGUAAAAUCCUUUUAUGACUGAGGAAUAAGUAUUCUGAGAGAAACGGAGUAUGGUGACUGUAGGUCAUGAAUAAGCAACGGCUAAUUACGUGCCAGCAGCCGCGGUAACACGUAAGUUGCGAGCGUUGUUCGGAAUUAUUGGGCGUAAAGGGCAUGUAGGCGGUUUUGCAAGCUUGGUGUGAAAUCUCGGAGCUCAACUCCGAAAUUGCGUUGAGAACUGCAUGACUGGAGUCACUGAGGGGCAAUCAGAAUUCCUGGUGUAGGGGUGAAAUCUGUAGAUAUCAGGAAGAAUACCAAUGGCGAAGGCAGGUUACCAGCAGAUGACUGACGCUGAGGUGCGAAGGUGCGGGGAGCAAACAGGAUUAGAUACCCUGGUA